GAGUUUGAUCCUGGCUCAGGAUGAACGCUGGCGGCGUGCUUAACACAUGCAAGUCGAGCGAUGAAGUUUCCUUCGGGAAAUGGAUUAGCGGCGGACGGGUGAGUAACACGUGGGUAACCUGCCUCAUAGAGUGGAAUAGCCUUCCGAAAGGGAGAUUAAUACCGCAUAACGUUGAAAGAUGGCAUCAUCAUUCAACCAAAGGAGCAAUCCGCUAUGAGAUGGACCCGCGGCGCAUUAGCUAGUUGGUGGGGUAACGGCCUACCAAGGCGACGAUGCGUAGCCGACCUGAGAGGGUGAUCGGCCACAUUGGGACUGAGACACGGCCCAGACUCCUACGGGAGGCAGCAGUGGGGAAUAUUGCACAAUGGGGGAAACCCUGAUUCAGCAACGCCGCGUGAGUGAUGAAGGUUUUCGGAUCGUAAAGCUCUGUCUUUGGGGAAGAUAAUGACGGUACCCAAGGAGGAAGCCACGGCUAACUACGUGCCAGCAGCCGCGGUAAUACGUAGGUGGCGAGCGUUAUCCGGAUUUACUGGGCGUAAAGGGAGCGUAGGCGGAUGAUUAAGUGGGAUGUGAAAUACCCGGGCUCAACUUGGGUGCUGCAUUCCAAACUGGUUAUCUAGAGUGCAGGAGAGGAGAGUGGAAUUCCUAGUGUAGCGGUGAAAUGCGUAGA
rnacentral:rRNA from 1 species